rnacentral:antisense_RNA from 1 species
UAAGGAAUGAGAUAAAUUACUGCUUUUCUAGAUUUGGUAGCAUGGGCUGUUGUGCUGGAGAGAACGAGAGCUACGAAGAGACUAGAAUGCCUCUGACUUUUUCAUAGGACAGUUGGCCGAGGAAGACACUUAAAGAUGAAGUGCUUAAUUCAAGGUCACAGAAUGUCGGGGAUGGACCUCCAGAUUUCCUUACUGACCUGCAUUAUCUUGUGGAUACCUGAGUGAAUUCCACACCACCCAUUUUAUAGAUGAAGCCACUGAGACGUGGAGCAACUGACUGAGUAGUCACUGCCCCACCCCUGCCUGGAGCCUCACACAUGACUUCUCUUAGUGACCACAGGUUGGUUGAGGGGUUUAACAAGGCUAAGAAGGUGAGACGUGGUCUUGUAACACAGUGGUUAAGAAUGUGACUUUGGAGCCAGCCUGCUAGGGGCUGAAUUCUGACUCAGCCAUUUAUUAACUGUGUGACCUUAGAUGGAGUCUCACUCUGUAGCCCAAGCUGGAGUGGCGUGAUCUCGACUCACUGCAACCUCCGCCUCCUGGGCUCAAGUGAUUCUCGUGCCUCAGCCUCCUGAGUAGCUGGGACUACAGGUCAUAGAAUUUUCCACACUCCUUGACGGAGGUUCUUAACCCUUAUCCAUCAGCAUUCUCAGACAGCACCUCCGGUUA